UCCAUCUUCCUUUACAAUAGAUAAUUUUUUUUAUAUUUUGAUUACUCCACUAAAAUGAGUCAUUUCAAUUACUUUUUUUCUUUUUCUUUUUCAUUUGUUAUUUUUAUUAUUAAAAUUUGUAUUACUCAAUACUCACUAUUAAAUUUUGCAUUAAAAUCUAGAUAUAAAUUACUAAGAUUGAUUUUCGUGAAUAGAAAUAAUAUAAACUAUGAUUAAAUUGUCUAAUAAUUUAAUAAAUCUUUUAAGAAAAUGUAUUUUGGACUUGCAACUUAGCUCAAAAAACUUAAAGAAGAACUGAAGAAGCUGCCUGCGUCCGUCAUCAUUCUCACUCUAUCGGAAAAAGAAAAUAGAAUUCCCAGUUGAUAUAAUCGUCGCCGUCGUCGAGUUCCUCACAAUGCCGCCUUUGCUCUCGCUUGCGGUUGUUGCUUCUGCAGUUUCUUAUUAAACGUGUAUCCCCUCACCGGUUUCCAUUUUCUACAUAUAUUGCUAUUUCGGAAUUGACUAUCUUUGAAUAUUGAAUUCCGAUUUCUGUGUUUGGUUUGGAGCUAUAAAUCGAUUUCUCUAGUUUCGAUUUCAUCAUAUAUACUAGUAAAUUAUUUGAUUUGACUAAACAUUUCAUAGCUAGUAUUCUCACAUCUUAGUCAAGCUAGGUAGUAGGAAUAGUUGAUCAAACGGAUUUCCAAUCGAUCGGAAUCACUGGCCGGCAAUGGCCGGGGUUUCGCGGCGAAACAUUCGAGACAAAGCAACCUCCGCUGGCAAAUCGCCGAACCUCGACAACACCAACACCAGAACCCGAAAGUCUGCCGCCGGAGGCCACCGCGGUUUCACUCGGAUCGUCACUUCCACUUCCUCGAUUUUGUUGUCUAUUGGAAUUGUUCUCAUCACUAUCGGAUUUUGUAUGAAGAAUUAUUUCAUAAACCCUGCUAAGGAGACUGUAAAACCCUGGGUCGUCACGCCCGUUAUCCGCUCCAAAGCUCAUGGAUCUUCCUAUGUUUCAAGGGGAGCACUAGGAGAGUUUGUAUUGGGGAACAUACAGGCCUCAUGUUUAUUUUGGAAUUCGUGCGCGGACUCCUCAGUCUCUGCUGGCGGGUCUGAUGUGGCUUGGUGUCAAGGAUGGGAGAUAUGUGAUGCGGCAUGUGUGCCAGGACUCAGAUGAGCUAGCGACAUAUGGUUGGACGCACCAUAAUGGACGGGAUUAUGGACGUCAAGUAUUGUUGACCAAAAUUUGGUGUUGACAACGAAUUUCCUGAAAUCAAGGGAGGAAGAGAGUGGUUAUGGUGGGAACUGGGCACUUCCAAUCGAAGCACAAAGUGAAGUGUACGUGCCUAUACCCAGGGGCGGAGCUAGAAAUUUGUAGGAAAUGGGGCAAAUUUACAUAAGAGGGAAUUUUAAAAUCUUGAAGAGGGGCAUUUAGUAGAAGGUUAAAAGAAAUUAAUUUAAAAUAGGUAUAUAAAUACAUGAGAUGGAAAACAUGAGGUGGGGCAAUUGCCCCUCUUUUGUCCCAUGUAAAUCCGCCCCUGCCUAUACCUUUUAUACUGCUUCGUUUCAAUGACUAGCAUGGUUUAUCAAGAAAUGAAAAGAUUUUGCCUAGGAUUUCCAAAAUACUUCGUCAUGGCUAAUCAUCUGUAAAGUUGAAUUAAGUGACGCACUUUGCGUGCUGAAGUUUCAAUAGAACCAAGUAAUGUUGCUACAUCUGGAAUUGUAUAAGGAGGUGCAAGGUUGCCAAUAUGUCGCAACAGUGAGGCAAAUCAUUUACUCUUGUGUUUAUCAAUGAGUUCAGUGUCUUUUCCUUCAUAUAUUCAGAUGCUAUUUCUUUUGGGAAACCAGGGCAAUAUUUUUACCUUUGCACGAUUUCACUGCUUUAAAUUUGUUGAUCAGUAGCUAGAGCUUGUGAUGUGAAUCAAAUUGUACAUUUUUAUUCCCCUAACUUUACAUGAUUUAUAUAGUUUGAUGCUUGCAAAAGUAUGUUUUACGGUGUAGGAAUGAAGCUCGGAUGGUGAAAAAGCGGUUCAGAAAGCUCUCAAAAUUGGCCACCCGGCCGGGUGUAUUUUAUGCCUAAUAAUCUACCCGGUCGGGUGGAUAAAUUAUAACUGCAAUAUUGCACUUAAAGGAGGGAUGAGAGAGAGAGUGAUUGGACGUUAUUUGAGGGAAGAGAGGGGAGAAAAGGUGAGGUGAUUGGUUGGAAAAAGAAGUGAUUAAAAAAAGGUGUCAGGAUGUGACGGUUUUUGAGGAAGAAAACAAAAAGGAGAAGGGAGAGGGAGUUGAGGGACGUUUUUUGAUAGAGAGAAAGAAUUAGACGACGGCAGAGGAAGAGAGGAAGAUUGGAGGCGCAACCAUUCAAUUUCCAUCAUCCCGGAGGAGAUUUGCUACCAUCUACACAUCAAUUUCAUAAGUUCUUCUUGUUUAUUGAUUAUUGAUGUGUAACUAAAUUCCUACGUUGCUCUUAGUUUGUGAAAGAUGUGAUUACUUUAGAAUUCUAUGGAUUAAUGUUUUUCUAUGAUCUUUUCUACGGUGCUAGUUACUUUGAAUGAUAAUUCCGGCCUGAUUUAUUAUUCAAUCUUAUCUUUUAGCCAAUGUCUCUUUAACUUGGUUAAAAGGUGGAAACGUAGAUAAAGAGUUUGAGAUUUGUAUCGUGUUCAGCAUAUGAAUCUUGGAUAAGUUGAUUUACAUGUCGUUACAAUAAUUGUUGUACAUUUACUAUGCGUCUGUAGGAAUGUUCAAUUGAUUUUGUAAAUGAAUUAUGUACGUUGGAGCU